AUUUCCUACAGGAAGCUGUAGCACGAACAGAUACCCUGGCAAAGUGCUCAAGCCCUGUAAGCAAGGAAUCGUCUAGGCAUGCAGUGAAAGGCCAUGGUCACAAACUCGCAAGCCCGGGACAAGAACUUGGUAAGGAGGAGGAGAAAAGCCAUGCAGUUGAUACCCGAGCGAGCAGCUAAAUCAACAUCCUUCAGAGCCGACUCCAUUUGCUGAAAAUUCCUAUUUGUGAAAGAUUUCACCCUGUUCGGAAAAAUCUUAUCUCUGGCCAUGUCGGGGAAGUCUGGAACUGAGACAUAUUGAUCAAAAUUAGCCCGUGGGAACUUAAAAACUGGUGUGGGCGGAAGCCUGAAGUCCACCGCUUGGCCUUCAGCAGUCUGUCUAUUGCAUCUGUACAAGAAUGAUCAAGGAGAAACUCUGGGAAGAGGGGGGGAAGAUGAGGUCUCUCCGGGUAAACGACGCUUGAAUGGGGAUCCCCCCCAUCAUCAGGAGGUGAUGGGGUAGGCAGUCCCGGGACUUUUAUCAUCUCCCACUGUGGAAGAUGUAAGCGAGACUCGAACGGCAAAAGAUCGAUCACCGAAAGGAGCUCAUCCUCAUUCAGAGACUGACCUGAGCCAGAAAUACAAAGAAAGGUCAGGACUAGAAGCAAAACCCACCAACAAAAUGGUAGUUUGUUUAUUCAUGGACUCUACAAUCGUACACGAAACCAAUACACCAGUAGAGGCCGCUCUUAAUGGGAGGACUGUGUGAAUAGACUCCGCCCGGAGCAGUGAGCCCCACAAUUACUUGUGUGCAUCUUGUGCCAACAGGACCUGAAUAAGGGCUAUCUCAGGGUCAUGCUACUCACAACUCACACUGCGAAAUAGCGAUCUUCUCUUUACUCGACCGAUCCAGGACCAGCUCCACCAGCUCCUUCUCUAGACUAGAUGCUACUGUUUCGAGGAAGUAAUGAUGAAUGAUGGAAAAGUGCUUUGGUUGUGGGGGAUGUGUUUUUGUGAGCAUAUUUUUCAGAGGGGGAUGGAGCCAUAAAAUAAUACCUUUUAAAAGUAAGCAUUUUUUAUGCAGUUCCAUAGUAGCAACUUGUACUAUUUAUUUUUAACAACUAUCACUACUACAUGUAUAGUGCACAGAUAAUACACAUAUUUUGAUACAGGGACUUAAAUGUACCAGUACCACAUAUACUCUGUGGCUCUAUAACAAGUGAACACUUGUUUAAAAUUAAAAUAGGGAAGAAAAACAAAUUUUAUUUUCGUUCUUUCAUGUUCUAUUUAAAUAACAUACAUUAACUAGAGAAUGUCUGGUCACAGAUUAACAUGUGAUAUUUGAUGCCUCCAUGUAUCAUGACACAACCAAAUUUAGCUUCAAACUCGUAACUGUCACACUUCUUUUGAAAUUGAUACAGUCCUAAAAUUUGCACAUUGGAAUGAUUGCUGAAUUUUCAGGUCUCCUGCCUUCAAAUAUCUCUGCCCAGCCUGCGUUCACAUACCCCUGCCCAGCCUACAUAUACCAACUUUCCAUGUGCCUAUGAAAAGACUUGAUUAUUCGUACUGCCCCUUGACCCUCCAUAACACACUGCGGUCCCACCACCAUGUUCACCCUUCUUUUCUCAGCGCCUAUCAUUUACAGACGUGUCUUUACAGUAUCUUCAGAGUUUGGAGUUCAUUACCUUUCACAUUUGUGAAUCAACCUGAUUCCUGGUUACGAUUAAAGAGUGAUUUCUUAUCUGUUGGCAAUAGUGCUUAUUUUUGUAUUUUUUUUGGUUCUUUUCUGCCCCUUAUUGGCAAGCUGCGAAGCAAAUGCGAGCCUAAGUAAUACUGAUUUCUGUCUUCUGUCCGUCCGUCUGUUGGUCGGUGCGUUCGUCCAGCCAUCCUCAAAUGUUAAAGUACCUUGCAGAUCCAUAGGUGUUAAAAUGGGUGUCAGCUCGUAAGUCCGACACCUCAUAAGUCCGCAAAAAGGUUUUUAAAAAGUCCAUAAGUCCGACACCUCAUAGGUUCGAUGCCUCUUAGGUCCGACAAAUGCAUUUAAAAGUUCCAAUGGUUUUUUGGCCCAUAGCAUACAUCCAACGCCUGAAAUAAUCCGACGCCUCGAAUGUCCGGUGUUUGAUUUGACUGCGGAUGAGACGGCGCUGGGAACAAGACUGGUUCCCAGUGUCAAGUAUGGUAUACUAUUUAUGACACGCAGCCUCACAUCGCGCGGGCCCACACUUCUCCAUGUUUCACAGUCAAUCGUACUGACGCCUCAUAUUAAGUCUGACACCUCGUUAGUCAGACAUCGGAUUUAUGAGGGGUCGGACCUUUGAGCCCAUAAAUCCGACGCCUCACAAGUCCAAAAAUUCGGACUUUUCAGGCGUCGGACUUACGAUACGCACCCUCAAAAUGUGCCAUUGAGUGCUUGUUUGCUUCCUCUUGGAAUUCCAUCAGUAUUUAAAUAGUCUCAUAUGGCAUUAAUGUUUAGAAACUUAACUACCAUGUCAAAGUAGACAUGGUAGAUAUGGGAUGAUGGGGGGUAGAAUUGUAGAGGAUAGGAUAAUGGGGUUGGAUACAACUGCAGAACUGUACUUUAGAGGAAUUUCAAUUAUGCACCAUCCAUCAGACUCACAAAUGCACUGCUUAUAUAAUCAUCCAGGUCUAGUCUGAUUGUACUGAACCCACAUUCUUCAGGCAUUCCUCUCUCCUGUAAAGAACUGUGAAGCGUUUGUACCCAUAUCUCCCUUGCUGGUGGUCUUUGUUGAUUUACUUCUAAAUGACAGGCACCUUUCAAAACAUAGUCUGCACACAGCACUAACUAGGUUUUUUCCUAGAGUAUAAUGAAUUUUAUUGCUGUGGUCGAUUAAAUAUCUUGCACAUCUGUAUUGUAGUUGUAUGUCAACCAAUCUUGUAAAAGAUUUUGAUGAAGCUUGGUUAGUAUAAUUUAGUAACCAUAUUUGUAUAACUUGGAUGUCCCUAAACAUAGCUGUUAUUACAGGAAAGAAAUUCAAAUUCAUAACAAGCAGCGAGCCAUGACGCCUUUGCCCUUCUAGUUCUGUGCAUUAUUUACAGGUUUGGGGCCUACUAUUGUAUCGUGUUGUGUGUGGCUGUUAAACAGGGCUGACGGGCAUCCCUUUGUUCUGAGUGAUGUGCGUACGUUCAAACAAUAACGGCCCACCAUAUUCUGCUGUAUGGGUCUGGCUGUGGAGCGGGGACCUUAUGAGCUGCCCUGAUCCCUUGUGGUGUGGUUGUGUUGUCUGAGACUAACAGCCAUGCCAGGGAAAGACCCAGUGGAGUGGCUAGGCCAGGGUUGAGUGUGCAGUGCCGCAAACUACCCCUGACCUUUAUCUACAUUGAUUAGGUUGAGCAUGCAGUGCCACAACACUCCCCAUGAUCAGUGAGGACUGCUGUUUGGAUUGAUCGGGUUGAGGGUGCUGUGCUGCAUAACUACCCUUGAUUACUGACGACCACUCUCUAUACCCAGUGAUUGGGUUGAGCAUGCUGUGCUGCAACACUAUCCUUGUUCACUGACGACCACUCUCUCUACCCACUGAUCGGGUUUAGCAUGCUGUGCUGCAACACUAUCCUUGAUCACAGACGACCACUCUGCAUAUCACGGCUGGAUCACGGCUGACCAGAGCAUAAUGAAUUGUUCCUCUCUGUCUAUGCUGGAGGUGCUGACUGUUGCUACCUACCACAUCCCUGAAUGACUCUGCCUACCGAUGGCCCAGCAGGGAUUGCAGGGCGAUGGCCCGCCGUCUGCCCCAGGUCCCUCACCGGCUUCUGCUCACUGUGCUUCUUCCGCUCGGAAGUCGGGCCAGUCAACCCCCUUCUAAGUGGGCAACGGGAUCCAUGACGAAUUUGCCACGCUCCACUGCUUCUGUCACAGGCAAGUCUACAGAACAGCAUGGUGCACAGCCUCAUGUUGUGUUGGACGAUGUUAGCCCUUUUGGACUUCUACACCACCAGGGCUUUCAUCCGCUGCAUCCCAUCCGCAGCUCUAGUAUAACCCCUGGUCUGCGGCCAUAGGGCCACUGAUCCUGAUCCAAGGCGCUCCUCCUAGGAUAUGAUCGACCAUUCGAGGGAUUCUUGCCCAGCUGCAGCUUCAACCGUCCCAGCCUUCGGUUCCCCCGUUCCAGUGAAGACUAAGAAGUGCAAGGCCAAAACCUCUUCCUUGGCUUCUUCUUCCACGUCCAAGGCCAAGAAGAAGGGCUUCUCCACACCGGCAGCCCCCACCACAACGAAGAUGACAGGCAGGACCAUCCCCGUCUUCAGGCCGUUCCUUCAGUCGUCCGCUCCGAUCAGCAACUCGGUCCUCAGGCUCCCUUGGAGCUCCGCCCCUGGCCGCUUGUAAAACGUUCCAACCAUGACCUGCCAACCGCUGGUCCGCACCGCGCCCCCAGUCCCCACAGGAGUGCGGCGCCGGUGACUACUUUCCUUCACCUUUGGCAGCCACCAAUCCCAAACCUGUCCGAGGCUGUCUAGGCAACUUCAUCAGGUUCUGGCGGGAAAACACUGUGGACUGCUGGGUCCUUACCACCAUUGCCCACAGUUACAUUCUCGAAUUCACGAGCUCCCCACUAUCCGGGAUGGUUUUCUGUUCAACUCCCCCUCCAUGCCACAAGUCCAAGCGCCUGGCUCUGGAGGAGUAGAUUCCAGCAUUACCAUGCAAACAAGCCAUCAUGCCGGUACACCCAAGUCAGUUGUCCACCAGCUUCCUUUUGUUGUUCUUCCUGACACCCAAGAAAGAACCGGGAAAAUGGCGACCAAUAAUCAACCUGAAACUGCUCAACAAAUUCAUCACGUAGAAGCGGUUUUGGAUGGAGACUCUAAACAUAGACUUGCACCUCCUACCGGUCCCAUGCUGGGCCGCUUCCAUAGAUCUGCAGGAUGCAUAUCUCUAUAUUCCAAUACACAAACAGGACUGCAAGUUCCUUCGCUUCGAAUGUUGUGGUCAAAUCUACGAGUUUCUGGCUCUCCCGUUCGGUCUCUCCACUUCACCAAGGGUCUUCACCCGGGGCGCCAAGACACUUGCUGCUCAUCUGCGGCAACGCGACGUCCUCAUUUUUCAAUACCUCAAUGACUAGUUAAUCAUCAGCCAUUCCUCCAAUGAGGCCAAGUGUAGAAGUGUGACUCUCAAAAUACAUGGGACAGAGACUGUCAGUUUUAUACUCCACUCUCUCUUAAAUUAAUUUAUUCCUUAAUUAUUUACACAGGCAUAAAAAAACAAACAACUUGUCAAAUUAUUGCUUGCGUAAUUAAUUCUCAACUCCUUUUACUUGAUGUACCAUGUUGUUGCUCCAAAGGAACAAAAAACAAAACCAAAGGAAAGAAA